rnacentral:rRNA from 1 species
UACGUAGGGGGCUAGCGUUGUCCGGAAUCAUUGGGCGUAAAGCGCGUGUAGGCGGUUCGGUAAGUCCGCUGUGAAAGUCGGGGGCUCAACCCUCGGAAGCCGGUGGAUACUGUCGGGCUAGAGUACGGAAGAGGCGAGUGGAAUUCCUGGUGUAGCGGUGAAAUGCGCAGAUAUCAGGAGGAACACCAGUGGCGAAGGCGGCUAGCUGGGCUUCAACUGACGCUGAGGCGCGAAGGCUAGGGGAGCGAACAGG